UGCUUCUUAGGAACAGGGAUUAACAAUUUUAUCAUGCAAAAUAAACCAGUAAACUGAUUCUCAGUGGUCAGGAGUUAAUUCUAUGUUCUGUUUGUGGAUUAUUGUUUAUAUUCUUUCACAAAGACUCUGGAAAGGAAGGAUUUAUUGCAGCAUUUCACAAGGCCAUUGCAGCCCUGAGUUUGCAGCUCUUCACUCACUCCUUCAGUCCUGAGGUAGGGCAGGACGGAAAUGCUGGAGCUCUGAGCUCAGUGGUAGAGGACUUCUUCAGUGUAAGAGUGAUGCCUGAAGCCCAGUUCAGCCCUCAGCGACUAGCAAACAGGCUACAAACUUAUAAACACUUUCAACUGGAAAAGAUUAUCCAUGACCUCAGAACCACAAAGCACUUUGAUGGGCCCAAAUCCUGUCUGAACAAUUCAUCUCAGGUGCUCUGUGUGGACAAGGAAGUGAAGCAGCUGAAUGACCUCUACCUGGACCUUCAGCCCCAGAGCCAUAGGCCUCUGAUGGAGUCCCUGCUGUUGGAGUCAUCUGAGAAGACAUCAGCUAAGACAGUAUUAUCUCAGGAUGAGGUUCAAAACCAACAGACCAAGACUUUGGUGCUCAGCCAGCAGAAUGUGGUCCAGAGACUUGCCGAGAUCAGGGAGAGGCUGCUCUCCUCCAAAAUCUCCGCCCAGCCAGAGCCCACCUCCUCUGUGCUCAUCACUGACAAAUCUCUACAGGACAAGCAGAGAGCAGGCAUCACAGUUCUUCCCAGAGAUGAGAAGGAACUUAAGUGCCCCAUUACAGAGAGUGACACCAGUAACUCAAGUGUGUGAAUCUGUGGACUGGAGGAACACUGGCCUUCUGUCCUGAAGCUCCAUCACUCUUUAUUGACUCAGAGAGUCCUGGACUUCUGUCCUGAAGCUCCAUCACUCUGUAUUGACUCAGAGAGUCCCGGAGUUCUGUCCUGAAGCUCCAUUGCUCUCUAUAGUUGUGUAGUGAAUUUGUGUUCAUCAGAAGAUCAACUCCAGUCUCGAGUAGCAGCGCUGUUGAAGUUGAGACAGUCUGCAUGUGUUUACUUACGGAUAACCAUAAUUGUUCCUUCUUGUCAUGACCGGAUCUGCGCCUGGCACUCCGGGACAUGUUUUCCCAGAGUCAUUCCCGGUGUCAUUUGUGUGCGUGAGUACCUUAAUUGUAAUCAAGGUUAAUGUUAUAAAUGUUCCUGAGGGUCUUUAGUCUGCGUACCAGUAUUGCCUGCGUCACACGGUAUGUGUUCCUACUCUGUCUUUUUCAAUUAAACCCGUUUUGUUCCUGAGUCAUGCAUGUGCGUCCUACCUGCCCUGCACCGGCCGUGAC
rnacentral:lncRNA from 1 species